rnacentral:lncRNA from 1 species
AUGAGGUUUGCUAAGGACCAGAUGUAUUCUCAAGGCUCAGGUGAAGUUUAACCAGCACAUCUGAACUUACUCACUUUUCUGCUUGUUUCUCAAGAACCCAGAACACAAUUUGAGUUGCAGCUAUUAUAAGGAACCAUACAUUCCAAACUUCAUGGAGUUUGAAAAUAUCAGCAAUGGAAAGAGCAGCUUAAGACCAUCCAGUGGUUGUUCCUGCCCAUUCAGUGGCCGGGCAGAGGGAGCUGCACACCAGUCUUCAAUGUUCUGCUUUGCUCCAGGUUCACGUAUAUACAGGAAAUUGAUGACAAGGCAGUGCUAUCCCACGCCGUGCUUCAGAGUAGUGUGUUUAUCAGCAGACAGUCUGGCAGACGGACCUGGGGAAGCACAUACCAGCUCUGCACGGCAGCAAACAGCCUCCAACUUGGGCAGUGGCAUCCAGGAGCCGUCCCCCUGGGGCAGUGGCAUCCAGGUAUUCUACGAGGUGCUCAGGCUGCCAGCAUGAAGUCCAAAUGUACUGCUUCUCCUCUUUUUUGCUCCCCGUGGAAGUUAUAUAUCUCAUAGCCUUUGUUCUGGUCCUGAUACCACUUUCACCAGUCAUUCUGUUUCAUUGUGUUCUCCUUCCAGAAAGGGAGUCAGUCAAUUAAUGAAUCCUUUGAUUAUCCUAAAUAACUUACCAAUAUAUAUAAUUCAAAUAAACUGGAUUUGUGAAAGGGUAAAGCCA